CUGUAGCCAUCUUAGUGGCGCAGUAAUUUUUACUAUCAGCACUCAGCUAUGCUAAGGCAAAAAUCUCAGAAAUGCAAUAGAAAUUGUUCACACAAUUUUUGCCUUACGACAAAUCCCCCUUUUGAUUUUUGAACAAUUUAUAUUGCAUUUCUGUAUCACUCUUUAUUGUACUAAUAACAUAUCAAUAAACAUGAUUACAUAUUACAAUAAUAGUGCAUUAACAAACUUAACAACUUAUUAACUUCAAGGUUUGUGCUCUUAAAAUUUUCUUAAAAGUGUGUGGAAUAUAUUACA